CCGGCAUUUUUCUCUAAAUCGGCAGUAAAUACAGCUGAGUAAAAUUAGCUUGGUUUUCUUCCUUCUUUUGUAACUGAACUGUUUUUAUUAAAAAUUCUAUUUGAAUAUGUAGAAAAAGUGGGGAUGUCCUGUAAUAUAUCGUAGCUUUUCUUGUUUACAGGGUGCUCAGAAAGCAUGCGUCCCUUAGAGUCCCACAGAAAGGUUCUCAGUGCGCUCUCUAUCAAGGUAUGUAUUUACAAAUAAGUGAUCCCUUUAGAUAUUUGCCUGUGUACCUUUUCCUGUAAUUCAGAGCUUGCGUUCUGUGGGUUGUAUGAUAAAGCUGUAAAACAUGUAAGAAUGGUUUUGCAAGUCUGAAUCGUUGAAGGCAGCAAUAAGUGGAUUUAGAGCCUGUUCUUGAGCAGACAAAGGGAAAAAGUGUGACUCUGAUGCUGAACUUGUCAUUUUUCAUUUGACUUGUCUUGAAUGAUUUAGGAAUAGAGAGAACUAGAAAAAGAGAGAAAUAGAAUCGAUUAUUGAGCAGUCCUCAAAUGCUCACCAUAAUUCAGUGUAGAGCCAAAGGGAAGGGUGAUGGAACAGAGCUCUGUGCUUUGGAAGGAAAUAAAUUUAAACCUGAUCUCCACACAGAGUCUCACUAACUUCUGUGGUUUUAAAAUACAAAAUACGUUUAGGAAGUGUUGGAAGUUAGUAUUUUGGGAAAGAAACGGCAGUUCCACAGAACAUUCCAUUUCACAGAGGCUCUAGGAAGGAUUCAUGUUGUAACUGCUGUCACUGCAAUCAGUUGGUGGUUCAGCCUUGAAACGUGCACUUGGCCUUCUAUAAAGCGCUGUUUUGUUUGCCUUUCAUUGCUAUGAGUCUUGAUAAAUUGGAGAAGAGCCCAAGAGAAAUUUUUCAUCCCUUGAUAUAAAAGGGAUCGGUGAAUUUUAACUUUGGAGUCCUCUAUGCUAAGGAUGCUCAGCUUACAGAUGAUGAAAUGUUCAGUAAUGGGAAAGACUCUCAUAUCCUCGUCGUCGGGCUCGGUGCUGUCCAAGAAGAUACAGAGACUAAAAAAAUCAUAAGAAGCAAAAUAUGACUGCAGGGAAAAGAAGCUGGAGAGAACAGAAUAAAUGGAAUUGGGACGACGCCUCGGCCAGCCCCUCUCUGCCAUCGUCUCCUGAAUCUGCAGCAGAGCAGUUCCAGUCCAUCCAGGCACGUGCAAUCCAGUUCCUGAUGAUCUGAGCACACGGAGCAGCGCUCAGCUGCUGUGGGGGGCUCAGGGAAGGCAGAGUGUGCAUUGUCAUCUUCCUGAACCUACAGACAAAUCAAAGUGAGAAGCCACAGGGUGGAAAUCAGUUGCAUAUAUGCUAAACAAAACUUGCAGGUUGUUUUUAAGAAUUGUUUUUGCUUGUUCUUUGUUGUGCUUCUGUGCUUAGAAAACCUCCCUUUAAAAUCAGUUCAGUUCAUCAGUUGAACCUUUGUUUGCAGACCCUCACUGAGCAGAAUUUGUUGCAGACUCAGUGCACGCUGUGCCGGCCUCCCGGGAGUGUGAGGAGCUCAUGUGUGCUACUUUUUGCUUUAGGACGCUCUGAGGUAUUUAUUCCUUUUGGGAUACGUGAUGAGAAUUCCCAAGAGAGGUAGUUAUAAGGUAUGACAUUGGGAAAAAGCCUGUGUGGUUGGAAUGUUGUUGCUGUCAAAAGUUAAUUUUUCCUUCAUUCUUAGCCAGUAGUUAGCUUUUUGCUUUAUUUUUGUGGUAUCAGUAUUUUAUUGUUUAAAAAAUUCCUUCAAAAUAACUUCAGUGGUUGCCCACCAGUAUCUUGUUCAGAUUUGCCUAUUUGCUUGUAGCUGAAAUGUUCACAUCUUGUUUAUCAUUCUGUUUAAGAAACUGCUGCCCAGCCAACUAAUAACUGAAUAUCCAUCUGUCUGGGACACGGGGAGAGGAUUUAGGUAAUGUCUUUGUUUCCAGAAAAAAGUUCCAGUGAAGUUUCUAAAUAGAGGAGAAGGGGGUGAAGACUCAGGGCUCUGAUGCCGUUGGGGCACCCCAAGGUCCCCAGGAGAGGGAGCGGUGCAGGAGCAGGUGUGUUCUCAUCUAAUAUUGAACAAAUUAUAAAUAUAAAUAUGAAAAUUAUAAACAUGAAAAUAUUUUUAAAAUACUUAAAUAAAGCGGGUUUUCUUUAUUGGUCAAUA